AGUGCCCUCAAAAAACCCUAGUUCUUCCUCCCCAAAUCUGACAUCGCCGCCUCUCAUGCUCCUCAUUUUCGUCGGAGGCCUGACUUGGCGAUGAGGAUUUGAUUAUUGUACAUGAUGCACUUAAAUAUGGAGGUUGUCGUCUGUCUAUUGCAAUUCCUAAGUGCGGGAUUUUUGAAAAUAUAAACUCUCUGCAUGAUCUUGCGCAAAUGUCUCAAUGGACGAGAGAGGCCUUUAAGAAUUGCAACUGGCUUUACUUAUCUUGGUCCAAAAUUUAUGAAAGAAAAAGGUCUGGAAUUUGUCACCUUCUCUUCUGCUGAUGGAGCACUUGAGGCAGCACCUGCUCUCCUCCAGCGCAGGAAAAUAUCAAGAUGAUUGAGAGAACGUCAUAGGAUUCUUAAGGAGGCCUUGCAUCUCAAAUUUAGUGGAUACUCGAAGAAGAUGACAUGAAGGGUUUUAUGUCAUAGAAUGGGAGCGUUGCCUAAAAAUGGUCAUGCUUAGUCUUUCUUUAAUGUACCGGUGAUACUGUUCGAGGAAUUUUUGUUCCUUCAAGCCAACUAUUGUUUAUCGGAAAAAAUAAGGUAGGUAAUCGUUAUAGGAUGCUGUAGAAUUUAUCAAUUUGAGGUGAAAAGUAGUUGUCAUUGUUAUUGUUUUUUCUCUGUUCACGUGACGCUAGAGGGUUGUUUUUCCUCUUUUUUUAAUUACUAUUAAUUGUUUUGGAUAACCCGCACAGAGUCAAAUCCAAGACUGGGAGUCAUAUCGGAACCUUCCAAUCUUUCAGCGUUGUUUUUCCUCUUUUUUUAAUUACUAUUAAUUGUUUUGGAUAA